AGGCUCCAAACAGGCAUGUGAGGUGCCUUUGGAAAGAAAGCCCCAGGGCACUGUGGCCAGGGUUAACAUUGGCCAAGUUAUCAUGUCCAUCCGCACCAAGCUGCAGAACAAGGAGCAUGUGAUUGAGGCCCUGUGCAGGGCCAAGUUCAAGUUCUCUGGUCACCAGAAGAUCCACAUCUCAAAGAAGUAGGGCUUCACCAAGUUGAAUGCUGAUGAAUUUGAAGACAUGGUGGCUGAGAAGCGGCUCAUCCCAGAUGGCUGUGGGGUCAAGUACAUCCCCAUUCGUGGCCCUCUGGAUAAGUGGUGGGCCCUGCACUCA
rnacentral:lncRNA from 1 species